GCCGAAAUAGCUCAGUUGGGAGAGCGUCAGACUGAAGAUCUGAAGCUCCCUGGUUCAAUCCGGAGAGUUUGUA
rnacentral:tRNA from 1 species